CGGAGGGUGCAAGCGUUGUCCGGAUUUAUUGGGUUUAAAGGGUGCGUAGGUGGCUUGUUAAGUCCGGGGUGAAAGCCCACAGCUCAACUGUGGAACUGCCCUGGAUACUGGCAAGCUUGAGUCCAGACGAGGUUGGCGGAAUGGAAGGUGUAGCGGUGAAAUGCAUAGAUACCUUCCAGAACCCCGAUUGCGUAGGCAGCUGACUAGGCUGGUACUGACACUGAGGCACGAAAGCGUGGGGAGCGAACAGGAUU
rnacentral:rRNA from 1 species